rnacentral:rRNA from 1 species
CAUGUGGUUUAAUUCGAUGCAACGCGAAGAACCUUACCAGGUCUUGACAUCCCACGAAUUCAUCUGAAAGGAUGGAGUGCCUUCGGGAGCGUGGAGACAGGUGGUGCAUGGUUGUCGUCAGCUCGUGUCGUGAGAUGUUGGGUUAAGUCCCGCAACGAGCGCAACCCUUGCUAUUAGUUGCUAACAGGUAGAGCUGAGCACUCUAAUGGGACUGCCGGUGACAAGCCGGAGGAAGGUGGGGAUGACGUCAAAUCAUCAUGCCCUUUAUGACCUGGGCUACACACGUGCUACAAUGGAUGGUACAGAGAGCAGCGAGGCAGCGAUGUGGAGCGAAUCUCAAAAAGCCAUUCUCAGUUCGGAUUGGAGUCUGCAACUCGACUCCAUGAAGUCGGAAUCGCUAGUAAUCGCGAAUCAGUAUGUCGCGGUGAAUGCGUUCCCGGGCCUU